AGUGAACGCUGGCGGCGUGCUUAACACAUGCAAGUCGAACGGUAACAGAACUAGCUUGCUAGUUGCUGACGAGUGGCGCACGGGUGAGUAAUAUAUAGUUAAUGUGCCUCGAAGACUAGGAUAGCCACUGGAAACGGUGAUUAAUACUGGAUAAGCCUCUAUGACAUAAGUCAGCGAGGAAAAUGUUUUUUCGCUUCGAGAUCAGACUAUAUCCUAUCAGCUAGUUGGUGAGGUAAGAGCUCACCAAGGCAAUGACGGGUAGCGGGUUUGAGAGGAUGAUCCGCCACACUGGUACUGAGACACGGACCAGACUCCUACGGGAGGCAGCAGUGAGGAAUAUUGCACAAUGGAGGGAACUCUGAUGCAGCAACGCCGCGUGGAGGAUGACGCAUUUCGGUGUGUAAACUCCUUUUAUAUGUCAAGAAAAUGACGGUAGCAUAUGAAUAAGCACCGGCUAACUCCGUGC
rnacentral:rRNA from 1 species